AGGCGCGUAGCUCAGUGGGAGAGCACUUCCCUGACACGGAAGGGGUCGGCAGUUCAAUCCUGCCCGUGCCUACCA
rnacentral:tRNA from 1 species